GGGUCAGUAGGUUGGUCGUGCCACCGGUACGUACUGGUCUCACUGAUUCCUCCUUCCUGAAGAACCGUAAUGCCAUUGAUUUGGUGUUGCGGGGAAACAGGACUGUUACUUUGAAAAAAAUAGAGUGUUUAAAGCAAGCUAACGCUUGAAUACAUUAGCAUGGAAUAAUGAAAUAGGACGAUCGAUCCUAUUUUGUUGGUUUCUAGGAUUGACGUA
rnacentral:rRNA from 1 species